GUUUGGAUAGCUCAGCUGGUUAGAGCGCACGACUGUUAUCAUCAAGCAAUCGUGAGGUCGAGAGUUCAAUCCUCUCUCUGAACG